UGGAGGAGUGGUCCAUGGUGGCCUCUCUUGCAUGAACAUCAUCCUACCAGCGCCUCAAUUCAUGGGAAGUUCUGAUUAUGAAAAGGGUGUUUUGUUCCACAAAGUAGGACCUUCAGGGAUUUUGGAACCAACAGCCCGCAUGCCUUCUGGCACUCAGCCAUCCAGAGUCAGAGACGGGGGUUCCAGAUUUUAGGAACAGCUCUGCCACCAGCUCACUGACAAACACUUCCCGGCCUCUUUCAUUAACUGGCUGAUUGAAAUUGCAGAGACCCAGUGGUCACCCUAUCUGUAGGAUCAGCGUGGCACCCCUGCCGGGAGUAUGCACCACCUUUGUGAACAACACGAGAGGUCCUGUGGGCCUGGAGCAGAACUGCGUGGAACCAGAUGGGGAGACAACGAAGGGAGACGGAGGGAAGCAGAGUGGCCUUUGGUGUUCUCCCCAAAGUCUCUGCGGUGCCCCCCACACCUGGUGUCCUUGUCCGGCGAUGAACAGCCCUGGGAGGUGGCCCGUUGCCAAAGAAUCUGGAGUGGGAGGGCUGUUGGUUCUUUCAGACAACAAACACAGUCAGGUCACGUUUGAUGUGAAUCUGAUUUAUGCAAAUAUGGAACAAUGUCCUGAGAAACAUUAAUGAAGUUUCACUUUGCGAC